rnacentral:rRNA from 1 species
UUGGACAAUGGGCGCAAGCCUGAUCCAGCCAUGCCGCGUGCAGGAUGAAGGCCUUCGGGUUGUAAACUGCUUUUGUACGGAACGAAAAGGUCUUUUCUAAUAAAGAAGGCUGAUGACGGUACCGUAAGAAUAAGCACCGGCUAACUACGUG